UACGGGGGGGGCAAGCGUUGUUCGGAAUUACUGGGCGUAAAGGGCUCGUAGGUGGCCAACUAAGUCAGACGUGAAAUCCCCGGGCUUAACCUGGGAACUGCAUUUGUGACUGCACGGCUAGAGUGUGUCAGAGGGGGGUAGAAUUCCACGUGUAGCAGUGAAAUGCGUAGAUAUGUGGAGGAAUACCGAUGGCGAAGGCAGCCCCCUGGGAUAACACUGACGCUCAUGCACGAAAGCGUGGGGAGCAAACAGG
rnacentral:rRNA from 1 species